rnacentral:lncRNA from 1 species
AAACUCAAUCAAAUAAUUCCUGGACUACAUUCUUGUCACCAGAAAGGAUACAGUCCAGUGACAGUGUUCUACAUAUAAUUUCUACCUGAGAUACGUGUCUCCUGUUUGACCUCAAUUCAUCAGGAAGAAGAGACUUGACUCGCAGCUUCCUGGGAUACUCUGGUGUCGUAAAGGAAUUCCAUGACAUUUCCAGGAAAGAGAGAAGGUUGUAUGAAUUUUGCCGGCAAUGGCAGCUGUCGUUUUCCUGAGGGAGUGGAAAGGGACUUACCUAUACUUAUCUUCAGGUACAGAUGGGACAACUGACCCGUAGAAACUGGUGGGCGUCUAUCAGGUUAACCUGAAGAUUCAGCAAUUCUUAUUUUUCUGAUGCUGUCCACAUUGGCUUACAGUGACUUAUGACAGUAGGAUGAUACUGUGUAUCACAUGUAUCACAGUCCAUAUCACAUGGGCUACCAUCUGCAAAGGUGCUGAACAUAAAUUACUUACGGGGAUAAUUAUGCCAUGAAUUACACAAAGGCAACUCCCAUGCAUAAAUGUAAGCAUAUACUGAAAUGUGUGUAGACACGGACCUUGAGGAGCUGCAUUCUUUUUUAUUCAGAAGACCAGCAAAAUAUCAAUGUACUUCUUUGAUACCACAUAAGUUCUUGGAACAGAUUUUAAUGGUGUAUUGAUUCUCUGUCUUGGAUGAAAUUCAGUCAGUACGAUUCUCAGCCCUAGAUAAAGACACUUACUUAUUGCCAUUAAAUAAAUAUCAGUUUAUUACACA